CCCGGGGAAAGGAGAAAGUGAAGACAAGAGACUGGGGGACGUCACUGGUCAUCACAGAGAGCCAGCGUUGCUGUCGCGCACCACCACUACCGCCGCUGCUGGCAUAAAUAGGGUUUUGAUUUCUCCCGGAAAUGCAUUGCUGUCUAUCAGAGGGCGUAUUUCGGAGCGGUCUUAGUGCCCGCUGGAUUCUUCAAAUGUGUUGGUUUUCCGUGCGGACAUUUUGCACAUUUUAUACGGUGCAAACAUGGCCUUAUAGGUUUCAACAAUGCUGGUUGGAGAAAACUGUUCUGGACAAAUAGUAAAUAAUCCCUAUAAGCAAUGUGUCAGUGUAACUCUAUGGGACUUACAUAACUGUACUUUUACCCAGUGCAUGGGGAUCCUUAAAUGGGCACUCUCUUUUAAAACAAAUUUUUGCUAUUGUACUC